AGCCAGUAGUUGAAGCUUCUUAGC
rnacentral:siRNA from 1 species